rnacentral:rRNA from 1 species
AGAGUUUGAUCCUGGCUCAGGACGAACGCUGGCGGCACGCUUAACACAUGCAAGUCGAACGAGAGAAGAGGAGCUUGCUUUUCUGAUCUAGUGGCGGACGGGUGAGUAACACGUGAGCAAUCUGCCUUUCAGAGGGGGAUACCGAUUGGAAACGAUCGUUAAUACCGCAUAACAUAAUUGAACCGCAUGAUUUGAUUAUCAAAGAUUUAUCGCUGAAAGAUGAGCUCGCGUCUGAUUAGCUAGUUGGUAAGGUAACGGCUUACCAAGGCGACGAUCAGUAGCCGGACUGAGAGGUUGAUCGGCCACAUUGGGACUGAGACACGGCCCAGACUCCUACGGGAGGCAGCAGUGGGGAAUAUUGCACAAUGGAGGAAACUCUGAUGCAGCGAUGCCGCGUGAGGGAAGAAGGUUUUAGGAUUGUAAACCUCUGUCUUCAGGGACGAAAAAAGACGGUACCUGAGGAGGAAGCUCCGGCUAACUACGUGCCAGCAGCCGCGGUAAUACGUAGGGAGCGAGCGUUGUCCGGAAUUACUGGGUGUAAAGGGAGCGUAGGCGGGAUCGCAAGUCAGAUGUGAAAACUAUGGGCUUAACCCAUAAACUGCAUUUGAAACUGUGGUUCUUGAGUGAAGUAGAGGUAAGCGGAAUUCCUAGUGUAGCGGUGAAAUGCGUAGAUAUUAGGAGGAACAUCAGUGGCGAAGGCGGCUUACUGGGCUUUAACUGACGCUGAGGCUCGAAAGCGUGGGGAGCAAACAGGAUUAGAUACCCUGGUAGUCCACGCCGUAAACGAUGAUUACUAGGUGUGGGGGGACUGACCCCUUCCGUGCCGCAGCAAACGCAAUAAGUAAUCCACCUGGGGAGUACGACCGCAAGGUUGAAACUCAAAGGAAUUGACGGGGGCCCGCACAAGCAGUGGAGUAUGUGGAUUAAUUCGAAGCAACGCGAAGAGCCUUACCAGGUCUUGACAUCGUAUGCAUAGCUCAGAGAUGAGUGAAAUCUCUUCGGAGACAUAUAGACAGGUGGUGCAUGGUCGUCGUCAGCUCGUGUCGUGAGAUGUUGGGUUAAGUCCCGCAACGAGCGCAACCCUUACUGUUAGUUGCUACGCAAGAGCACUCUAGCAGGACUGCCGUUGACAAAACGGAGGAAGGUGGGGAUGACGUCAAAUCAUCAUGCCCCUUAUGACCUGGGCCUCACACGUACUACAAUGGCUGUCAACAGAGGGAAGCAAAGCCGCGAGGUGGAGCGAACCCCUAAAAGCAGUCUUAGUUCGGAUUGUAGGCUGCAACCCGCCUACAUGAAGUCGGAAUUGCUAGUAAUCGCAGAUCAGCAUGCUGCGGUGAAUACGUUCCCGGGCCUUGUACACACCGCCCGUCACGCCAUGGGAGUCGGUAACACCCGAAGCCUGUAGUCUAACCGCAAGGAGGACGCAGUCGAAGGUGGGAUUGAUGACUGGGGUGAAGUCGUAACAAGGUA